GAUGAACGCUGGCGGCGUGCCUAAUACAUGCAAGUCGAGCGAACGGACGAGAAGCUUGCUUCUCUGAUGUUAGCGGCGGACGGGUGAGUAACACGUGGAUAACCUACCUAUAAGACUGGGAUAACUUCGGGAAACCGGAGCUAAUACCGGAUAAUAUUUUGAACCGCAUGGUUCAAAAGUGAAAGACGGUCUUGCUGUCACUUAUAGAUGGAUCCGCGCUGCAUUAGCUAGUUGGUAAGGUAACGGCUUACCAAGGCAACGAUGUAUAGCCGACCUGAGAGGGUGAUCGGCCACACUGGAACUGAGACACGGUCCAGACUCCUACGGGAGGCAGCAGUAGGGAAUCUUCCGCAAUGGGCGAAAGCCUGACGGAGCAACGCCGCGUGAGUGAUGAAGGUCUUCGGAUCGUAAAACUCUGUUGUUAGGGAAGAACAUAUGUGUAAGUAACUGUGCACAUCUUGACGGUACCUAAUCAGAAAGCCACGGCUAACUACGUG
rnacentral:rRNA from 1 species